GUACACGAGCGGCGAACGGGUGAGUAACACGUGGGUGAUCUGCCCUGCACUCUGGGAUAAGCCUGGGAAACUGGGUCUAAUACUGGAUAUGACCUGCUCUCGCAUGGGGGUGGGUGGAAAGAUUUAUCGGUGCAGGAUGGGCCCGCGGCCUAUCAGCUUGUUGGUGGGGUAAUGGCCUACCAAGGCGACGACGGGUAGCCGACCUGAGAGGGUGACCGGCCACACUGGGACUGAGACACGGCCCAGACUCC
rnacentral:rRNA from 1 species